UCAUCUCUUUCCCCUUCACAUGCAGAUAGUAGCAUUUGUCUGAGGUGCUAAGUGACAAAGGAACUUUUUAGCUGUUGAAGACCGGGCUGAAAGGAAGAGUAAUAGGGUUUGUGUAUUGUCCCGGGGUUCACCUUAGCACCAGUGGAAGUGAUUAGUGGCCGCUGCUCCUCCUGAAGAGACACCAAAACGAUGGAGCAGGUGGUACCCGGCCAGCCCAUCACCACGAAGGUGGCCCAGGGGGGCUGUGAUCAUGGCCCAACCUUUCCCCAAGGCAGCGAUCCUGCGGGACGGAGCUGGGUUGCUAUCCCCAGGAGGCCUCGGAGCAGCACUCCCUCCUGCAUCCUCGCCGUGAGCCACACGAAGGACGAGAGGUUGGCCAGGAUGAGUGCUUCCCAAGGCAGCAUUCCCCACCAGCCACUGUGGGACGCGAGUCCUCCUUUCCGAAUCGAGCUCAGGAACUAAUUACGAUGCUGUAGCAGCUUCGGCUUUUGAAAGUGUUACUAAUCACCCAGCACUAAAUGCGACGCAGCUUUGCAGAAGUGCUCCUGGGGUCAGGUUUCGGAGGGCAGACGUCAACGCGAAGGUGCAGCAAAGUGGAGGUAACUCCUUCAGCUGUACGCCGAGCUGGGCGGGCGAGGGAGAAGGAGAAAACUACUCGCUGGGGUUUUUUUAGACGUGACAUUUCAGUGAUGUACCAACAGAGGAAAUUUUGCUUGCAGAAUCCUGUGAGCAAAACACUUCUGAGAAUGUAUGUAUACAAUUGUUUAAAAAAACACAGGGUUACUGACACAGAUGCCAAUUUGGUAGGGCAUAUGGAACAUUUACACUUGCCUUUUUCAUUCUUUCUUGCUACAGCUGGUACUGAUUUAGUAUGUGAAAUUUUACUAGCAGGAGUGCUAAUCAAGACAGAGAUUUCUGUGAGGAUUUAGUCAUUUAUGUGGAGGAAAACUAUGGGUAUCAUUAAAAAGUACAAGAUCAUCUAUGAGAGAAACAUUAUCAUUAGCAUCCUACAUUUUAAAGAGGAAAAAAAAAGUACUGUAUCACUUGAGCAGCAGUGGCAGAAAUUAUUUUCUUGAAGUGUUCAGUCAUGUCACCUCUCAAAGUUUGGGGGAAGAAAAAUUGAAAUUUACUUAAAAAAAAAAAAAAAAAAAAAAAAGGAAGGAAAUAAACAUACAAACAACAGCAAGAGUUGUUCCAAGCGGCUUUGUAAGCAGUGUGCUAGCCUGCUCUGUAACAUCAAAUGGAUAUGGCUAGGAAUGGGAUCACAACCAAAAAAACCAUCCAGAUCCUGGAUCUGUGUUUGAAUCUGAAGCCUCCAUUCAAACCCAACUUGGUGAUGGUGACACUUCAUGUCACCAUCGCGAUGUUGGGUCCAGCAGUGCUCCACAUCUAUAAUGCACAGUUUGUCAAAGUUCCCUUUUGGUGGUUGGUUUUCCUUUUUUCUUUUUCUUUUCCUUUUCCUUUUUUUUUUUUUUUUUCCCAGCAAUUGUGAUCUGGGAUGGAGAUGUUCAGACCUUAAAUACCAAUUCUGGCCAAUUUCUGCCGGCGACAAGAAAUACUAUAUUCCAUUAAGAAGGCAACGAGCGUGCAUUACGUAUCCAAAGAGGCGAUUUUACAUUACACACAGUGUAAAAAAUUAUGCUCGGGUUUAACUGCCAUUUCCUGCCAAGAUGAUUCCAGUGCAAACAGCAACAGAGCAAGUGCUGUGUGCUAAAUAUGCUGUACAGGUGGCUGGGUGAUACGGGAGACCU